UUUGUCUGUGUUUCAACGUGGUUGAGUGGUCGACCUUUGCCCAUCUCCAGUGGUCUACCGCUCCCUUCCCUCCACCUGACCCCACUCACAUAGUCUUGCUAUUUCUUGUUUUCAUCUAUGUCUGGUAUGGAACAGUUCCUACUCUGCUUUUUUCUUUUCUAGAUUCAUAAUGGUUCCUAUGAGACAAAAGCUGAGCUCAUCAUCUUCCUACAAUAUCACCUCUCAACUGAGCAUACUUCCUGUCUCUGGUUCUGGGCAAUUUCCAAUAUUUUUAGAUAUCUAUUCAUAAUUGAAUCCCUCCCCUCAUAUUUAGCAUAUGCUGGAUAAGGAAGAAAUAUCUAAUGGUUUCUGGAUCUUAAAUGCCCUACCAAAGUACACGUAUCGAAGGCUUGGUUCUUCCAGGUCCCAGAACUGAUGGGCAUUCCAGGCUAUGCUGGCUCUGACCAUCUAUGAUUGACCACAUGUUCAAAGACUCCUACUUGGAGUCUGCCAUAUUCUCUGAUGGAACAAAUCCAAGCUAUUGACCAAGAGGAGGACCAUGGUACCAAAGAGAGUUGGAGUGAUGUCAUACAAGACCUGCUGACGGCUGCAGAACUGAGAUGGAUGGCUGAUGAUCAUAAAGGCAGAAAUUGUAGUCUAAUUUGUAAUGAUCAAAGCAGUCUAAGAAAGGAUUGGGCUAACUCGGGAUGUGAUAAGCUCCCUAUUGCUGAAGCCUUCACCACAGUGCUCACAGCACUCAGCACGCUCUUCAACUUGGACAAGAAGACUUACAAGAAAUUGCUCGACUAAAAUGUGUUCAUUAGCUUGAAGCCCCAUCUGAGUAGACUAGAUUCUCUAUGAAAAGGGAAAUCAGGGUACAUAGACACAAGAGAUGCCCACAAGGAAGAAAGGCCACAUAAGAAUUUGGGGGUAGAUGGCCAGCUAGAGCCUCAUGAGAAACUAAGCCUGCCUGACAGAUUGGACUUGCAAUUCCAGAAUACAGAACCAUGAGAAGA